rnacentral:sRNA from 7 species
AUAUCUCUCCGUACGGGAAGGAUGAGAAGCUUUGACUAAGGUUCGAUUCGAGCGCAGCGAGAAAGCGUUGCCGCAGGCAACGACCCGAAGGGUGAGGAGCGGAGCGACAAAUAAUCCUUCCCCCACCACCA